GACGAACGCUGGCGGCGUGCUUAACACAUGCAAGUCGAACGGAAAGGCCCUGCUUUUGUGGGGUGCUCGAGUGGCGAACGGGUGAGUAACACGUGAGUAACCUGCCCUUGACUUUGGGAUAACUUCAUGAAACUGAGGCUAAUACCGGAUAGGAGCUCCUGCUGCAUGGUGGGGGUUGGAAAGUUUCGGCGGUUGGGGGUGGACUCGCGGCGUAUCAGCUUGUUGGUGGGGUAGUGGCUGACCAAGGCUUGGACGGGUAGCCGGGCUGGGCGGGUGACAGGACACACUGGGACGGAAAUGAGGCCCAGCCUCCUCCGGGAGGGAAGAGUGGGGUAUAGUGCAUUAUGGGCUGAACGCUGGUGCAACAAAGCCGCGUGGCGGAAGACAGGCAGCCGGUAGUAAAGCGCUUUUGUCUGUGACGGAACGUGAAUGACGGUAAUGGGUGAAUAAGCACCGGCUAACUCCGUG
rnacentral:rRNA from 1 species